rnacentral:misc_RNA from 1 species
GAAAUGCGAUAAGUAAUGUGAAUUGAAGAAUUCAGUGAAUCAUCGAAUCUUUGAACGCACCUUGCGCUCCUUGGUAUUCCUUGGAGCAUGCCUGUUUGAGUAUCAUGAAAUCUUCAAAGUAAAUCUUUUGUUAACUCAAUUGGUUUCUACUUUGGUAUUGGAGGUCUUUGCAGCUUCACACCUGCUCCUCUUUGUUCAUUAGCUGGAUCUCAGUGUUAUGCUUGGUUCCACUCGGCGUGAUAAGUUAUCUAUCGCUGAGGACACUGUAAAAGGUGGCCAAGGUAAAUGCAGAUGAACCGCUUCUAAUAGUCCAUUGACUUGGACAAUACUUUUAUGAUCUGAUCUCAAAUCAGGUAGUACUACCCGCUGAACUUAAGC